AAUAUUGGACAGUGGGCGAAAGCCUGAUCCAGCCAUGCCGCGUGUGUGAAGAAGGUCUACGGAUUGUAAAGCACUUUAAGUUGGGAGGAAGGGCAGUAAGUUAAUACCUUGCUGUUUUGACGUUACCGACAGAAUAAGCACCGGCUAACUUCUUUCCAGCAGCCUCGGUAAUACGGAGGGUGCAAUCGUUAAUCGGAAUUACUGGGCGUAAAGCGCGCGUAGGUGGUUUGUCAAGUUGGAAGUGAAAGCCCCGGGCUCAACCUGGGAACUGCUUUCAAAACUGGCAAGCUAGAGUAUGGCAGAGGGUGGUGGAAUUUCCUGUGUAGCGGUGAAAUGCGUAGAUAUAGGAAGGAACACCAGUGGCGAAGGCGACCACCUGGACUGAUACUGACACUGAGGUGCGAAAGCGUGGGGAGCAAAC
rnacentral:rRNA from 1 species